UUUAUGUCCAUCUAGUGCUAGCCUUUAUAACUUGAACAAGGUUCUAUUACCAAUUGACAAGAGUACUCACACACUAGUUGACCCUUGUGCGAACCAAGGUGAGUCUACGUUGGUAUGUGAGUUGCCAACAACUAGUGAGGAUGUGAAUGAAGAUCAACUUACUCAUGAAUGUAUUCCACUACUUGAGCAUAUGUGUGGCGUGCUAAAAAAAUCUCAAGUUAGUGAUGGUGUUUAUAGAGUUGAUCUUGAUGGUGCA
rnacentral:lncRNA from 1 species